GCACAGGGAUGUUGAUUUGUUUGACUGACGACAACUCCUCCAAAUAAGCUAAUCCCAAGAGCUCGGGGUUAAUAUGGAGAAAUCGGAUAUAUUAGCAACAAUAUUACUCUACUGCAGAAGCGGCAGGAUCGACCGCUCGUUGCUCACGGUGUUCAGAGGAGUGUCAACCUUUACGCCGUGUUACAAAGCUCGGAUUUGAACUGAAAUGCUACCCAAAGGGAACAAACAGGCUGCUGAGAUUUACAAAAAUAGAAGCAAGCUUCGGAACGGGAA
rnacentral:sRNA from 1 species